AAACCCAUUCCCAAGCUUCGUCAAUAUUCAAACCCAUUCCCCCAAAACCGAGCUUGGUCCCUCCGUGUCUUACGUCUUCCUCAACCUGCAAACCCAUUCCCAUUCCCAUUCCCGAGCUUGGUCAAGGACCUCCGUGUCAUCAACCUUCAAACCCAUUCCCGUAAACUUGGAUCUCUGUCGUGUUCAACUUAAAGCCAGAAAAAUUUCAAGCCAGUAAGCUUGGAUCUCCGUCGCCUCAACCUUCAAACCCAUUCUCGGUAAAAGCUUCGUCCCUCCGUCGCCUCAAACUACAAGCCAGAAAAAUUUAAUCCCGUGAAGUUUGGUCCCUCCGUCGCCUCAACCUUUCAAACCUCUUCACGGUAAAGCUUCGUCCCUCCUUCGCUAUAGAACUACCGUGAAGCCAUAAAAAUUUCAUCCCCUGAAGCUUGGUCCAUUCCCGUGAAAGCUUCUUCCAAUCUACCUAAUUUUUUAAAUUUCAUCUUCUUCAAGGGCGAGAAACCCAUUCUGUCAUUUCCAUCCAGACCAAACCCUAAUACCACUGAAAAAAAAAUUCGUCUUCUUCAUCGCGAGAAACCCUCAGUUGUAGCCACUCGCCGUUCCCCGUCGCCACUCACCGUUGUUACGCCAACAAAGGAAAGGACAUUCUAUGAUUCUGACUUCCCUGAAAAAGGCUGCCGGCUGAAAACUUCUUUUGAUUGCGUUGGACAUGCUGGACUGCAUAUAAAUAACUUGCAUCACUCCCUCCAAAAUGACAUGUACUAACCAAAACAGAAGGCUGUCUUCCUCAUCCUCAAUGAAGCAAGUCUCUAGCAAAACCACAUCUACUUGGUAGACCUGUAGUGUGGGAAUUGAAAGAGUUAAGUUGAUUUGGCUAUUAUCUCUUGCUAUAGAGUAAUUUUAGCUUUCACUCCUCAUAUUUUCCACUUUGUCCUCGGUUAUAUCAUCUUAUCACCUGCCUAAUUCCUUCCUCAUAUUGCGGUUGGUUGAUUUUGAAGGUUGGGCAUUCUUGCGGGUUUAUUGUUGGUAUGACACAGAAAUACCAUAUGGUGAGAAGAGAAUCAACCAUUUAAAAACCGAAAUCAAAAGAUACAACUAGCAAUAGAUAUCCAAAGAACUUGACAUCGACUAGAAAUAGAGACUGAGAGGCUCAAGAGAAAGUUGGAUAGGGUCUGUAUUUAGUAAUUUCAAUGUGGUGGGUACUUCGUUUAGGCUUGCUUGUUGGGAAAUUCUGAGAAAAGAAGAUGUAAUAUAUUUUAGCUUAAUUUUGAAGAACUGUAUUUUUGCAUAUAUUGUAUUCAACUUGUAUUUUAUCAUGAACAAGAAGUUCAAAUUGGGCAUUUGUAAUCAAAUCGUAUGAGUUAUAAUGCACCAGAAUGAUUUGGUCUAA